rnacentral:ncRNA from 1 species
AUCUUCAGGGAUUUGUGAAAUUCAAUACCGGCGGUAAAGCCCGCGAGCCUUAUGGCAUGAUUCGGUGUAACUCCGAAGCCGACAGUAAAGUCUGGAUGUGAGAAGAUU